UUGGGCGGAGCCCGACCGUCCCUGACGGGAGGUCGGGUUGCAAGCCUAUCUGGAAUUUGUUCUGCGCAUUAUGUAGUACUGCUAUGAAUAUUAUUAUUCUCAAGUGGGUGUUAACCGACUUGAUGACGUGUAAACCACAGGAUGGCACAGCAAUACUGCAUGCGGUUUUGCAACUAGAUACAAGCGGAAGUGUAACCAAGCCACGUGAAAAAUGCUGCAAUCUGAUAGGGCGCCACUAUAGUGGCGCUAGAACAAAUCCCAGAUAGGCUUGCAACCCGACCUCCCGUCAGGGACGGUCGGGCUCCGCCCAACUAAGGAAAAUGGUGUCUUUCCAACCACCCAAGCAACUGAUGAUGUCUCAACUCUUAGUGACAACACAAACCAGCGAGCGAGAUUGAUGUCACUGACUAUGGAGGCACUACACUAAUGUCUUCACAUUUCAACUCUAAGUGACAACUUGGUUUUAAAACUUCUUAUGACCUUCUAGCACACGUCGAGUGCUUUUCAGAGUGGUUUUCUGAACAUGCCAUGCAGCGAGAUCGAGCACAGUGGUCGAUAGCCUCCUUCACAAGGCCUCAACAAGGGGCCUGGAAUCGAGGCUAAGUGAUAGAGUGAUGGUCUGAACAGUGCAGCGAGAGUGUCACUGCAGGCUUGCUUGUGAGCACUAUAAUUAUGGUGAUGGAAGCAAACACACAAUUAGACAAGCCUUCCAGCUGCAAGGGUGUACAAGACCCCCCCCUGCAUGAGAGUCUUAAUCCAGUUACCCCAUGCAGACCCCCCCCCCCCCACAACAUCCCAUCAGGUACUGAAAGUUCAACUCUUGGCACUUCCAUUGGACCACCACCUGUUACAUCAUAUGACAUCAUCACUCCAAGAUGGCUGCUACAAUAUGUGUACAUUGAAAAUAUGUUAGGCAUGAAACUAUCUUAUAUGUUUGAGUUA